rnacentral:misc_RNA from 1 species
UCGCGGCUUAUCACCGGCAGUCCCCUUAGAGUGCCCAACUGAAUGAUGGCAACUAAGGGCGAGGGUUGCGCUCGUUGCGGGACUUAACCCAACACCUCACGGCACGAGCUGACGACAGCCAUGCAGCACCUGUGCUAGCUCCCCGAAGGGUCCUUCACGUUUCUGAUCCGUACCACUAGCAUGUCAAGCCCUGGUAAGGUUCUUCGCGUUGCAUCGAAUUAAGCCACAUACUCCACCGCUUGUGCAGGCCCCCGUCAAUUUCUUUGAGUUUUAAUCUUGCGACCGUACUCCCCAGGCGGGGCACUUAAUGCGUUAGCUGCGGCACCCAGGGGGUCAAUACCCCGGACACCUAGUGCCCAUCGUUUACAGCGUGGACUA